rnacentral:piRNA from 1 species
UCAGAGAAUACAAAUAUCUGAGAGAGGAUC